GAUGAUUCUCACAUAUUUAUCAGUGUAUUAGAAUGAUUGAGAUUGCUGCUGCUGGAACCCACAGAUCCCAGACAUCUUCAAACACAAUAAUUACAAGGGCCCCUCUUCACCCUCAGGUCAAACUAUUUUCUGAGUUAAACUUCUUCAGACAUUGCUUAUCCAGGCCUGAGUGUAGAGUUAUCCCCUCAUUGAUAAACCUGCAGUUACCCGUUACUCUUUCUCAUACACUAGCUUCACUUACUAUGAAUGACAAUUGCUGGUUAUCACCUCUGAUGGUUCCCUCCGUCGUCAUACGUGGCUCCUCAUCAAAGAUUAUGUUAAGGCAAAUACUAGCCACCUUACCGUCAUAUGUUGCUUUCACUCUAACGUAAUAAAUGAAGAAUGAACAUAGCAUAUUAAGGCUGAACAUGAUGAAGAACAUAUAACAUGCUAAGACUGAACAUUAUUAAGAACAUAAUUACAUGUUAAGGCUGAAUAUGAUAGAAGAACAUGUAACUUGCUAAGGCUGAACAUGAUAGAAGAGAACAUAACAUAUUAAUGCUGAAGAUUAUAAUAAGCCACAAAAAAAAUCUAAUUAAUGCUUUCUUCUCUUAAAUCACGUGUCGUCACUCUGAUUCAUACUAGACAAGUUUAUAUUCUGAAAAUACAUAGGUAAAUAUUGUUUUGGAAAUAGGAGUUAAUGAUGUGAUUACCAGAUAACAUGAACGUUGGAAUGCAGGAUUGUUGCGAGCGAAGGUUAGACAUACAUAUGAAUAAGUUUUAUUCAAUAUGAAUAUGCAUGGGCAAUAGUUCUUCUGGAGUUUUAAUUAUCUAUAUGAAUCAAAGUACAACAAUAAUGUCACCUUGAUGCUAUAGUUGCAGGUUAGUACAGUGACUGGUGUUGUGUAGAAAAUAUGCACGUCAUAUAUAAAUGAGAUUAAUGAAACCCUCCUGCUUUUGUAUCAAUAUAUAAUGGUCAGCUAACAAUUGUGAGGUUCAAGAACUAUCUUAUGAUGUUAUAAGUAUGUAGUCAACACAUGUUUGCUUCAGUCUCAAGACGUUUUGUUCAAAUAACAACUGGUGUGAUGCAUAAUAUCUUUAUUAGUAAUAUUGUUUAACUAACAUUGUCAACUCUUUGUUUUCCUUGUCUAGAGCUUGUGUGACCAUAUAGCAACUUGGUUGAUAGAGGAUAUCCUCAGUGAUCAUCUUGUUUAUCUGACAAUGACAACAAAAAAUGCUCUCCUCUCAGGCAGGACAGCCCUUCUCAGGGCAGCCGAAGGUGGUCACGACAACACUGUGAAGAUCCUCCUCGACGCUGGAGCAGAUGUCAACGCUGCAGGUUAUAAAGAUAUGAUGAUGAAUAAGGUCGUAUUCGAAACGUCAUGGCUUUGACUCAAAAGUAAAGAAGAGUUUUUACAAGAUGUUUGUUUUAUCUCUGGUUUUCCUUUAUAUUUUGAGAAUUAGAUUCCCGAAGGGAACUUCUAUCGUAAAUAUAUUAUAAUUUGUUUAUUUAUUCAAUUUUCUUAAAUGAAAAGCAAGUUCCUUUAAGGAAUACGCAGGCUCAAUGGAUGAACUUAACUUGUUCUUCUCUGGAUGGGAAUUAACUUGGAUUUAAGGUUAUUUACCUUUGACAAAAUGUUGCCUCUACAAAUCUUCUUCUUGAGCACAUAUGGAUCUUCAUGCCAACUGUAUUUGUAGAAAAUCUAUUUUCCUUACUUUGUUAAGAAAAGACAAUUUCUUUCGUUUGUCAGCACCUCAGAAAAAUAUUACAUUUGGACAUUGCAUAUGUCCAUAGAUUACAAGAUAAUGUAUCAAAUCAAUUCCCUCUAUAGUGACAGGAAAGUUACCAAGUCUUCCACUCACGAGUGCCCAUAAAUAUCAACCCAUAAUCUCAGUACACAAAUUCAGUAUUGUUAUAGAUGUGCAGGGAUGGACUGCUGAUUAAUUGCAGUUUUUGAGACUGUAAGAUCGAUUUACUCUUCAGUCAAUACUCAGUUUCAGUUCUGGUACUUUCUAUUCCAAUUCAAUUAACAAUUAUGAACACAAACAUGGGUAAGUGGUCUUUGAUGACUUACUAUAGCAAAAGAGAUGGUGGAGUGGCAUAGACGUCAACUUCGAGUGUAGUGGCGAGGACAGGGUGAGUGACUAUGAGGUGGGUGAGUCUUUAGAUGCGCUGCGUUUCUCUGGUCUGGAUCCGACAUGACAGUGUUAUCUGCUAAAAUAUGACUGGUUCUACACACCCCGUCAUUCUCUGAAAUGUAUAAGGAGGACAACGUAGUCUUCCUGCAAAAGGUCUGCCAAGCUCUGUACUCUUGUAUGUAAUUUUAUGCAAGAAAUAUAACUGAAAAUUCUAUAAUGUUGGUGAUUUCUUGAAUUUCACUGAAUGUUAGGUUUAUAGAUUUUAUUUGAUUUCCUAAGAAUGAUUAAAAUUAAAAGAUGUAUUACUAAAUAAAAAGAACGAUAGCAACAUUUUAGCUGUUUAGAGUGAUAGUAAUCAUAUCCAGUUGCCACUAAGUAAACUGUAGUCGUCUUCGUGCUAUAGUGACCUGUAUGGGAUGUCUCCGUGUUCUCUAGGUGGCUCACAUUUAGGGAGACGCAGCAGGAAUUGUGCUGCCUUCAUUUUACCUGCUGGAUGAAAUAAAUUUCAGUACUUUAUGGUAAAAUAAAAUAUAUGUAUAACCCAGCAUGCACUGAUAAUUAAUAUAAAAUAUUAGUUUUAGCUUUUGUUUUUAAUUCUGGUAUUUUUUACACAUGAAUGAUAAUAUCAACAAUGACAACACUUAAUAUUUUAUCGUUGUGAAUUUAUCUAUUGCAUAAUGUAUAUUUGUAUUUAUCUCUAAACCAUUGCACUAUAUUUCAAAUAUUUAUUUGCUAAACAUUGGAUAACCUAGUUAGUUAUAUUUAAUUAUGUGACAAGUAAUUGA